GGCUUGAUAGCUCAGUUGGUAGAGCAGCGGAUUGAAAAUCCGCGUGUCGGCAGUUCGAUUCUGCCUCGAGCCACCA
rnacentral:tRNA from 4 species